rnacentral:rRNA from 1 species
GAGGAAUAUUGGGCAAUGCCCGCAAGGGUGACCCAGCAACGCCGCGUGGAGGAUGGAUGUCGUAAGAUUGUAAACUCCUGUUAGAGGGGAAGAAUAGUACCGGUUGGACCGGUAUAUGACUGUACCCUCAGAGAAAGCCCCGGCUAACUACGUGCCAGCAGCUGCGGUAAUACGUAGGGGGCAAGCGUUGUCCGGAUUUACUGGGGGUAAAGGGCGCGCAGGCGGGAUAAAAAGUCAGUGGUGAAAUCCUACAGCUUAUCUGUAGAACUGCCUUUGAUACUUUUAUUCUUGAGUUCGGGAGAGAGAGACGGAAUUCCAGGUGUAGUGGUGAAAUACGUAGAUAUCUGGAAGAACACCAGUUGCGAAGGCGGUCUCUUGGUCCGACACUGACGCUGAGGCGCGAAAGCGUGGGGAGCAAACA